GACGAACGCUGGCGGCGUGCUUAACACAUGCAAGUCGAACGGGCCUUGUCCCCUUUUUUUUUGGGGGUGGGGUUAGUGGCGAACGGGUGAGUAACACGUGAGUAACCUGCCCCUCCCUUCUGGUUAACCGCUUGAAAGGGUGGCUAAUACGGGGUGUUCUGGCCUGCUCGCAUGGGUGGGUUUGGAAAGAUUCGACCGGUUUUGGUGGUUUUGGUGGGGGAUGGGCUCGCGGCCUAUCAGCUUGUUGGUGGGGUGAUGGCCUGCCAAGGCUUUGACGGGUAGCCGGCCUGAGAGGGUGGGCGGUCACACUGGGACUGAGACACGGCCCAGACUCCUACGGGAGGCAGCAGUGGGGAAUAUUGCACAAUGGGCGCAAGCCUGAUGCAGCGACGCCGCGUGAGGGAUGGAGGCCUUCGGGUUGUGAACCUCUUUCGCCAGUGAAGAAGGUCCUGCUCUUUGUGGUGGGGUUGACGGUAGCUGGGUUAAUGAAGCGCCGGCUAACUACGUG
rnacentral:rRNA from 1 species